rnacentral:lncRNA from 1 species
UCCCUGUGAACCAGUUGGUGGAUGAAUCAUCAUUGCAUAAGUUCAACACUGGAAGAGAUAAAGAACAACACAAGACAACAAUUCAAGUUCACGGGCGGUGUGUGGUUAAUUGCCAAACAGGCACAGUGGAUGUCAAAUGCACUAGGUUCAAAGAGAGAACACUGUGGGGUGGGCUGGGCUGAUUUCAGAUGGUAUCAUCCUUUGAAAUAUAAAAGCCACAUGUGA